rnacentral:lncRNA from 1 species
GGUUUAAUUUAUGUAUUUAAAUUUUAUCAAAAAAUAAAAUAAAAAUGCAGUGUUUUAAUUUUUUACGUUGCAAAAAAGCAAAAUUGAAGCAGCCGUGUGUGUUCCAAAAAUGCCGUGUGCAAUCAAAUUUUUAUUGGUGAAUGCACCAGCCGUGGAGGUAGCUUAAGAGUUUUUUACAGCCUUUAUUUAAACCCUCUCCACCAACAUCUUCAUUUUAAUCUCUCUGAAACCCUCUCAAGCUAUACAAAAACCCUCUCAACGUCUCUUCAUCUUUCGUUUGAAUCUCCAGCUAUCUUGAUGGCGUCUUCAAGGUAAUCACUUUCGUUUUCUUUUCAUUUUCGUUUUCUUUCAUUUUCGUUUCAUUUUCGUUUUUUUUCAUUUUUGUAAUCACUAAUCUAUGCAUGUAAUCAUUUUUUUCUUUUUCAUAGCAAUCACUCUGCCUCCAACUCGGUAACACAGCCCAUAUAUACAGAGAAUGUGGAGAAAUCUCUGUGCAACCUGAACGGUCACCUGGCGACCCUCCGUGAGCAGAUGGUGGAACUCACCCAGUUGACUACUACCCUGAACAAGAUGGUGGAGCUGCUCGGGGAUGAUCUCAAAGCAGUGAUGGUGGAGCAAUCGCAACUGGUCCAGCGACUGCGUCAUGGACGUUGAGGGCUGGUGGAACUGGUUGCUGGUGAGGGCUGGUGGAUGUAUGUUUUUUUAAGAACUUUUGUUAAUUAAGAACUUUAAUUAAGAACGUAUAAUUAAGUAUGUUUUGUUGAUGUAAGGAUUUUAAGUAUGGUAACUUUAAUUAAGUUGGAUGGUAACUUUAUUAAGUAUGUUUAUGAUGUUGGAUUUUAAGAAUGGUUGUUGAUGGUUUCUUUUGUAUGGUUUAGUUUCUUUUGUAUGCAUCUGAUUUGAGUAUGGUUUUUAAGAAUGUUGGUGAUUUUUUGGUUUAAGUAUGAUUUGAGUAUGGUUUUUAAGUAUCACUGAUUUAUGAAGCAUCUGAUUUGAAGCAUCUGAUUUUAAGUCUAGUUUUUAAGUAUGGUGGUUCAUUUUUCAUGUUGGUUUUAAGCCUAGUUUUUAAGUAUGGUGGUUUUUAAGUAUGGUCUUUUUUAUGUUUUGGUCUGAGGUGCCUUAUGAUUUUAGGUGCCUUAAGUUACUGAGGUGCCUUAUGGUGUAUUGUUGAUGGUUUAGUUUAUGGUGGAUGGUUUAAUUUUUCAAUUUGUAUUCAUCUGAUUCUUUUGAAAAGCCAGUAGCGUGUAGUUUCUGUCUUAUGAUUAUAGUUCUUGUAUCUAUGUUACUGAGGUGUCUUAUAGUUUUUGUCUUAAUGAUUGCUGAGGUAUAGUUUUUGCCCACUUGUAUAGUUUUCGUUCUUGCCAACAGACAAAUGCUUUAAAAUGCCAACAGACUAAAAACUCGUAGCUUAAAAUGCUUUAAAUUAUUCAAACUCCCGAAUACCAUAAACUCGUUUUUUGUAAAUCUUUCCCCAAGAGUUUUUGAAUAAUUCACUUGUUUUUUCCAUAAUUCACCACUGAGAGAAUUAGUACCAUAAACACAGGCCACACCACUCCAUAAUUCAUCAUAAUUCAGUUGUUUUUGAAUAUCACAAUAAACACAAAUAGCACCAUAAACACAAUUAGCACCAUAAACACAAUUAGCAACAUAAACUGAAAGAAUUAGUACCAAACAAGCUCAAUAUGUACAUGAAUUUAAAUUCAAUCAAUUUAAAUGAAUUCGAAUUUGAAUGAAAAAUGGAUUUGCACCUGGGCUCAUGGUUUGGACCUCAUGAGACUCACCUGGUCAACACAGUCAACAACUGAGUUGACUCGCUUCCAUGCUUCGAGUAAACAACUGAGUUGACUCGCUUCCACCAUGCUUCGUUCUCUCGAACGAAGCUUCGAGACUCACCAUGCUUAAUCAACUGAGUUCCCCUGCAAUAAAUCUCGAACAAAAUUAGAAACAAUCCAUGGAUUUAAAUUCAAUCAAUUAUAAACCACAGAAAUUGAAUAUUUUUAAACGAUUGUCGAAUUCGAAGGCUUUCAACAAUCCAUGGAUUAGAUUAUUGAUUUAGGAGACAUGAUUUCAUUUUGGAUUUGCGAAGAGGGGUAGAGAGGCGAAGAGGGGAAGAAAAUGAAAAUGAAAAAUGAAAGAAGAGAGAGAGGAGGAAAAAUGAAAGAAGAGAGAGAAG